rnacentral:sRNA from 1 species
AGCAGCCGCGGUAAUUCCAGCUCCAAUAGCGUAUAUUAAAGUUGUUGCAGUUAAAAAGCUCGUAGUUGAACCUUAGGCCCGUGCGGGUGGUCCGUCCUCUGGGCGAGCACUGCCUCGUCGCGGGUCUCACCUUCUGGCGAGCGUGGAUGCCAUUCACUUGGUGUCGGCGGGAACCAGGACCUUUACCUUGAAAAAUUAGAGUGCUCAAAGCGGGCUCGUACGCUUGAAUACAUUAGCAUGGAAUAAUGAAAUAGGACGACGGUUCUAUUUUGUUGGUUUCCGGGACAGUCGUAAUGAUUAAUAGGGAUAGUUGGGGGCAUUCGUAUUCAAUUGUCAGAGGUGAAAUUCUUGGAUUUAUUGAAGACGAACUACUGCGAAAGCAUUUGCCAAGGAUGUUUUCAUUAAUCAAGAACGAAAGUUGGGGGAUCGAAGACGAUCAGAUACCGUCGUAGUCUCAACCAUAAACUAUGCCGACUGGGAAUCGGGCGAUGUUAUUUUUC